rnacentral:rRNA from 1 species
AUUGAACGCUGGCGGCAGGCUUAACACAUGCAAGUCGAGCGGGGUGAUGGUGCUUGCACUAUCACUUAGCGGCGGACGGGUGAGUAAUGCUUAGGAAUCUGCCUAUUAGUGGGGGACAACAUCUCGAAAGGGAUGCUAAUACCGCAUACGUCCGACGGGAGAAAGCAGGGGAUCACUUGUGACCUUGCGCUAAUAGAUGAGCCUAAGUCGGAUUAGCUAGUUGGUGGGGUAAAGGCCUACCAAGGCGACGAUCUGUAGCGGGUCUGAGGGGAUGAUCAGCCACGCUGGGGCUGAGACACGGCCCAGACUCCUACGGGAGGCAGCAGUGGGGAAGAUUGGACAACGGGGGGAACCCUGAUCCAGCCAGGCGGCGUGUGGGAAGAAGGCCUUAUGGUUGUAAAGCACUUUAAGCGAGGAGGAGGCUCUUUUGGUUAAUACCCAAGAUGAGUGGACGUUACUCGCAGAAUAAGCACCGGCUAACUCUGUGCCAGCCGCCGCAGUAA